UGUGGUAGUUGGUAGGAGUUGAAAAUGUUUGAGAAUCGAGAUGCAUGAUUGCUACAGCACGGUUCGACGGCCUCCGUACUAUCUCUCUGUAUCUUGGAUACAGAAAUCCAUAAUGGACAGAGAUAAUAUGGGUACCCAAACCAUACCCAAAUUCAUUAUGGAUAUGAGAGAAAGAAAAUAUAGCGCGGUGCGUGGCCGAGGGCGAAGGUGGCGGCGGCAGCCAUCUUGGGCGGCGGAGGGGCAGCGGCAGGCCCGGACGAGGGCCGGCGGAGGCCACCGCAGGCUCGGACGAGGGCCGCGAGGCGCCUGCCGGCAUCGGCACCGCCCGAGCCGCCGGUCGCGGGCGGAAUCGGGGCGGCAGGCGGCGGACGCGCGGCCCCUGCUCUUCUUCCUCUCCCCGCCUGGCCACGGCGGCGCUUGGGUCUGGGAGGCGCUCGGGUCGGGUUGGGGAGGCGUGGGGCAGCAGGUGGGGGAGGCCCCGGUGGUCGCCAGCGGCGGCACCCGAUGCGGCCGGGGCGAGCCGAACGGGGCAGGGGAACGCCGGCGGGGGCACCUAGGGAGGUGGCGGAGGGUCGGCUGCGGUGGGAGGACAGCGGUGGUCGGCGGCGGCGCGGUCCGGCUGCCGGAAUCGGAGCCGGCGCCGGUCGGGGUCUGCUCGGAAAUGGCCGGAACGAGGCAGUUGGCCUUCCCGCCACUGGUUGGGUGUUAUGGGCAGAUACCCAAGAAAAUUUGGGUACCCGAAAUUCAUGGGUAUGCUGCUGGAGACUUGUUUUUAAAAUAUUCAUAUGGACAGUUUUUCGGUAUUCUAGCAAAAUAUGAAUAUACUGGUGGAGAUGCUAUAAAGAUUGGCAUGGCUUCGAACUGAGUCUAA